rnacentral:rRNA from 1 species
CGUUUCUGGCGGUGGUGUUAUUGGUUANCUUGUUUNCUUUAUUAAGGUUNCUCUAUUUCUUAAUUUUGGAGCUCCUCUUUUUUACUUGGGGGCUCCUUAGGGGGCUGUUACUUACUUAACUGGUUAUCUUUUUACUAUAUUGGGUUUAUGGGGUUACCUUAGUAGGGCGCUUUGGCUUAUAAGCUCUGGCUGUUACUUGGGUUUAAUAAGGCUCUUAUAUCUCUCUUUAGUAUAUACUCUCUUUAUUCUUCUUUAGUUCUCUNGGUAUUUGAGUUAGUUCUUUGCUUAUACUUCGUACUUCUCUUAUUGUAUAGUUCUGGGUAUAUUCGCUUAGUUAUAUUCUGCUUAGUAUUCUUAGCUUAUUGCUUGCUGGUGUAUAUUACUGUUUUCUCUCGGGCUCUUUUGUUACUUACUUACUCUGCUCUCUGUUCUUACUACUCUAUGGGUAGUUUGUUUGCUACCUAGUAUAGCUUAGGUAGCUUAACCUUCGGGAGGGCGCUUGCCACGGUGUGGCCGUAUGACUGGGGUGAAGUCGUACAU